UUGGCGGACGGGUGAGUAACACGUGAGCAACCUGCCUUCGAGAGGGGAAUAACGGCUGGAAACGGUCGCUAAUACCGCAUAACAUACAGGAGGGACAUCCCUUUUGUAUCAAAGAUUUAUCGCUCGAAGAUGGGCUCGCGUCCGAUUAGGUAGUUGGUGAGGUAAUGGCCCACCAAGCCGACGAUCGGUAGCCGGACUGAGAGGUUGAACGGCCACAUUGGGACUGAGACACGGCCCAGACUCCUACGGGAGGCAGCAG
rnacentral:rRNA from 1 species